GAUGAACGCUGGCGGCGUGCCUAAUACAUGCAAGUCGAGCGAACAGACGAGGAGCUUGCUCCUCUGACGUUAGCGGCGGACGGGUGAGUAACACGUGGAUAACCUACCUAUAAGACUGGGAUAACUUCGGGAAACCGGAGCUAAUACCGGAUAAUAUAUUGAACCGCAUGGUUCAAUAGUGAAAGACGGUUUUGCUGUCACUUAUAGAUGGAUCCGCGCCGCAUUAGCUAGUUGGUAAGGUAACGGCUUACCAAGGCAACGAUGCGUAGCCGACCUGAGAGGGUGAUCGGCCACACUGGAACUGAGACACGGUCCAGACUCCUACGGGAGGCAGCAGUAGGGAAUCGUCCGCAAUGGGCGAAAACCUGACGGAGCAACGCCGCGUGAGUGAUGAAGGUCUUCGGAUCGUAAAACUCUGUUAUUAGGGAAGAACAAAUGUGUAAGUAACUAUGCACGCCUUGACGGUACCUAAUCAGAAAGCCACGGCUAACUACGUG
rnacentral:rRNA from 1 species